GACGAACGCUGGCGGCGUGCUUAACACAUGCCAGUCGAACGGAAAGGCCCUGCUUUUUUGGGGUGCUCGAUUGGCGAACGGGUGAGUAACACGUGAGUAACCUGCCCUUGACUUUGGGAUAACUUCAGGAAACUGGGGCUAAUACCGGAUAGGAGCUCCUGCUGCAUGGUUGGGGUUGGAAAGUUUCGGCGGUUGGGGAUGGACUCGCGGCUUAUCAGCUUGUUGGUGGGGUAGUGGCUUACCAAGGCUUUGACGGGUAGCCGGCAUGAGAGGGUGACCGGCCACAUGGGGACUGCGAUACGGCGCAGACUCCUACGGGAGGCAGCAGUGGGGAAUCUUGCACAAUGGGAGGAAGCCUGAUGAAGCAACGCCGCGUGCGGGAUGACGGCCUUCGGGUUGUAAACCGCUUUAGCCUGUGACGAAGCGUGAGUGACGGUAAUGGGUAAAGAAGCACCGGCUAACUACGUG
rnacentral:rRNA from 1 species